AGUGAACGCUGGCGGCAGGCCUAACACAUGCAAGUCGAACGGCAGCACAAGAGAGCUUGCUCUCUGGGUGGCGAGUGGCGGACGGGUGAGGAAUGCAUCGGAAUCUGCCCAUUUGUGGGGGAUAACCUCGGGAAACCGGGACUAAUACCGCAUACGACCUACGGGUGAAAGCAGGGGAUCUUCGGACCUUGCGCAGAUGGAUGAGCCGAUGCCGGAUUAGCUAGUUGGAGGGGUAAAGGCCCACCAAGGCGACGAUCCGUAGCUGGUCUGAGAGGAUGAUCAGCCACACUGGGACUGAGACACGGCCCAGACUCCUACGGGAGGCAGCAGUGGGGAAUAUUGGACAAUGGGCGCAAGCCUGAUCCAGCCAUGCCGCGUGUGUGAAGAAGGCCUUCGGGUUGUAAAGCACUUUUGUUGGGAAAGAAAAGCAGCCGGUUAAUACCCGGUUGUCAUGACGGUACCCGAAGAAUAAGCACCGGCUAACUUCGUG
rnacentral:rRNA from 1 species